CCAGACUCCUACGGGAGGCAGCAGUGGGGAAUAUUGGGCAAUGGGCGCAAGCCUGACCCAGCAACGCCGCGUGAAGGAAGAAGGCUUUCGGGUUGUAAACUUCUUUUGUCAGGGAAGAGUAGAAGACGGUACCUGACGAAUAAGCCACGGCUAACUCCGUGCCAGCAGCCGCGGUAAUACGGAGGAUGCGAGCGUUAUCCGGAUUUAUUGGGUUUAAAGGGUGCGCAGGCGGAAGAUCAAGUCAGCGGUAAAAUGGGGGGGCUCAACCUCUCCGAGCCGUUGAAACUGGUUUUCUUGAGUGAGCGAGAAGUAUGCGGAAUGCGUGGUGUAGCGGUGAAAUGCAUAGAUAUCACGCAGAACUCCGAUUGCGAAGGCAGCAUACCGGCGCUCAACUGACGCUCAUGCACGAAAGUGUGGGUAUCGAACAGGAUUAGAUACCCCCGUA
rnacentral:rRNA from 1 species